rnacentral:rRNA from 1 species
AGCUUGCUGGGUGGAUCAGUGGCGAACGGGUGAGUAACACGUGAGCAACCUGCCCCCUACUUCGGGAUAAGCCUUGGAAACGAGGUCUAAUACCGGAUAUGAGCACUUACCGCAUGGUAGGUGUUGGAAAGUUUUUCGGUGGGGGAUGGGCUCGCGGCCUAUCAGCUUGUUGGUGGGGUAAUGGCCUACCAAGGCGUCGACGGGUAGCCGGCCUGAGAGGGCGACCGGCCACACUGGGACUGAGACACGGCCCAGACUCCUACGGGAGGCAGCAGUGGGGAAUAUUGCACAAUGGGCGAAAGCCUGAUGCAGCGACGCCACGUGAGGGAUGACGGCCUUCGGGUUGUAAACCUCUUUCAGCAGGGAAGAAGCGAAAGUGACGGUACCUGCAGAAGAAGCGCCGGCUAACUACGUGCCAGCAGCCGCGGUAAUACGUAGGGCGCAAGCGUUGUCCGGAAUUAUUGGGCGUAAAGAGCUCGUAGGCGGUCUGUCGCGUCUGGUGUGAAAUCCCAUGGCUCAACUGUGGGCUUGCAUCGGGUACGGGCAGACUAGAGUGCUGUAGGGGAGACUGGAAUUCCUGGUGUAGCGGUGGAAUGCGCAGAUAUCAGGAGGAACACCGAUGGCGAAGGCAGGUCUCUGGGCAGUUACUGACGCUGAGGAGCGAAAGCAUGGGGAGCGAACAGGAUUAGAUACCCUGGUAGUCCA